GUGCCAGCCGUCGCGGUAAUACCGGCAGCCCAAGUGAUGGCCGCUGUUAUUGGACCUAAAGCGUCCGUAGCUGGCCGCACGAGUCCGUCGGGAAAUCCGCCCGCUCAACGGGCGGCCGUCCGGCGGAACCUGUGUGGCUUGGGACCGGGAGGCCUGAGGGGUACGAUCGGGGUAGGAGUGAAAUCCUGUAAUCCCGCUCGGACCGCCGAUGGGGAAACCACCUCGGGAAGACGGACCCGACAGUGAGGGACGAAAGCUGGGAUCUCGAACCGGAUUAGAAACCCCUGUAGUCC
rnacentral:rRNA from 1 species